rnacentral:rRNA from 1 species
GACGAACCGUGCAAACGUUAUUCGGAAUCACUGGGCUUAAAGGGCGCGUAGGCGGGUCGGACAGUCUGCGGUGAAAUCCUCCAGCUUAACUGGAGAACUGCCGUGGAUACUCCCGAUCUCGAGGAGGGUAGGGGCAUCUGGAACAGCCGGUGGAGCGGUGGAAUGCGUUGAUAUCGGCUGGAACUCCGGUGGCGAAGGCGAGAUGCUGGACCCUUUCUGACGCUGAGGCGCGAAAGCCAGGGGAGCGAACGGG